rnacentral:rRNA from 1 species
UCGUGGAUCAGAAUGCCACGGUGAAUACGUUCCCGGGCCUUGUACACACCGCCCGUCACACCAUGGGAGUGRGUUGCAAAAGAAGUAGGUAGCUUAACCUUCGGGAGGGCGCUUACCACUUUGUGAUUCAUGACUGGGGUGAAGUCGUAACAAGGUAACCGUAGGGGAACCUGCGGUUGGAUCACCUCCUUACCUUAAAGAA